UACGUAGGGGGGCUAGCGUUGUCCGGAAUCAUUGGGCGUAAAGAGCGUGUAGGCGGUCCGGUAAGUCCGCUGUGAAAGUCGGGGGCUCAACCCUCGAAUGCCGGUGGAUACUGUCGGGCUAGAGUGCGGAAGAGGCGAGUGGAAUUCCUGGUGUAGCGGUGAAAUGCGCAGAUAUCAGGAGGAACACCAAUUGCGAAGGCAGCUCGCUGGGACGGUACUGACGCUGAGACGCGAAAGCGUGGGGAGCAAACAGG
rnacentral:rRNA from 1 species